GAUGAACGCUGGCGGCGUGCCUAAUACAUGCAAGUCGAGCGAACAGACGAGGAGCUUGCUCCUCUGACGUUAGCGGCGGACGGGUGAGUAACACGUGGAUAACCUACCUAUAAGACUGGGAUAACUUCGGGAAACCGGAGCUAAUACCGGAUAAUAUAUUGAACCGCAUGGUUCAAUAGUGAAAGACGGUUUUGCUGUCACUUAUAGAUGGAUCCGCGCCGCAUUAGCUAGUUGGUAAGGUAACGGCUUACCACGGCAACGAUGCGUAGCCGACCUGAGAGGCUGAUCGGCCACACUGGAACUGAGCCACGGUCCAGACUCCUACGGGAGGCAGCAGUAGGGAAUCUUCCGCAAUGGGCGAAAGCCUGACGGAGCAACGCCGCGUGAGUGAUGAAGGUCUUCGGAUCGUAAAACUCUGUUAUUAGGGAAGAACAAAUGUGUAAGUAACUAUGCACGUCUUGACGGUACCUAAUCAGAAAGCCACGGCUAACUACGUG
rnacentral:rRNA from 1 species